rnacentral:rRNA from 1 species
CGGCAAUGGAGGAAACUCUGACCGAGCAACGCCGCGUGAACGAUGAAGUAUUUCGGUAUGUAAAGUUCUUUUAUUAGGGAAGAAUAAAUGAUGGAAAAAUCAUUCUGACUGUACCUAAUGAAUAAGCCCCGGCUAACUAUGUGCCAGCAGCCGCGGUAAUACAUAGGGGGCAAGCGUUAUCCGGAAUUAUUGGGCGUAAAGGGUGCGUAGGCGGUUAAAUAAGUUUAUGGUCUAAGUUCAAUGCUCAACAUUGUGAUGCUAUAAAAACUGUUUAGCUAGAGUAAGAUAGAGGCAAGUGGAAUUCCAUGUGUAGUGGUAAAAUGCGUAAAUAUAUGGAGGAACACCAGUAGCGAAGGCGGCUUGCUGGGUCUUUACUGACGCUGAGGCACGAAAGCGUGGGGAGCAAACAGGAUUAGAUACCCUGGUAGUCCACGCCGUAAACGAUGAGUACUAAACGUUGGGUAAAACCAGUGUUGAAGUUAACACAUUAAGUACUCCGCCUGAGUAGUACGUACGCAAGUAUGAAACUUAAAGGAAUUGACGGGACUCCGCACAAGCGGUGGAUCAUGUUGUUUAAUUCGAAGGUACCCGAAAAACCUCACCAGGUCUUGACAUGCUUCUGCAAAGUUGUAGAAAUACAGUGGAGGUUAUCAGUUGCACAGGUGGUGCAUGGUUGUCGUCAGCUCGUGUCGUGAGAUGUUGGGUUAAGUCCCGCAACGAGCGCAACCCUUAUUGUUAGUUACCAGCACGUAAUGGUGGGGACUUUAGCAAGACUGCCAGUGAUAAAUUGGAGGAAGGUGGGGACGACGUCAAAUCAUCAUGCCCCUUAUGACCUGGGCUACAAACGUGAUACAAUGGCUGUUACAAAGGGUAGCUGAA